GUGUGUGAAGUGUCUUGUGUUGGUGUCUCAGGGAUGUCCCUCAGCCGUGUGUGGAGGAUCAUCUGAAGCCUCUGUCUCCGUUUGGUCUGCGGAACCGCUAUCUGUCCAGACUGGGAGUGCAGAUGCCGGAUCACUGCUGCCCACAUCUGUCUUCACUGGCCUACAGGAGUGUCCUCAAAUGAGUCCGUCUGUCCAGCAAUGCUGAUAGAGACUAAUUUGUUUGUCAAUAAAUGUUUAUUUUUGCAUGCA